GUGGAUUAGAUACCCGGGUAGUCCAUGCCGUAAACGGUGGGCGCUAGGUGUAGGGGUCUUCCACGACUUCUGUGCCGUAGCUAACGCAUUAAGCGCCCCGCCUGGGGAGUACGGCCGCAAGGCUAAAACUCAAAGGAAUUGACGGGGGCCCGCACAAGCGGCGGAGCAUGUGGAUUAAUUCGAUGCAACGCGAAGAACCUUACCUGGGCUUGACAUAUACAGGACUGGGCCAGAGAUGGUCUUUCCCUUUGUGGCUUGUAUACAGGUGGUGCACGGUUGUCGCCAGCU
rnacentral:rRNA from 1 species